GGGUUGUGAGGUUAAGCGACUAAGCGUACACGGUGGAUGCCCUGGCAGUCAGAGGCGAUGAAGGACGUGCUAAUCUGCGAUAAGCGUCGGUAAGGUGAUAUGAACCGUUAUAACCGGCGAUUUCCGAAUGGGGAAACCCAGUGUGAUUCGUCACACUAUCAUUAACUGAAUCCAUAGGUUAAUGAGGCGAACCGGGGGAACUGAAACAUCUAAGUACCCCGAGGAAAAGAAAUCAACCGAGAUUCCCCCAGUAGCGGCGAGCGAACGGGGAGCAGCCCAGAGCCUGAAUCAGUGUGUGUGUUAGUGGAAGCGUCUGGAAAGGCGUGCGAUACAGGGUGACAGCCCCGUACACAAAAAUGCACAUAUUGUGAGCUCGAUGAGUAGGGCGGGACACGUGGUAUCCUGUCUGAAUAUGGGGGGACCAUCCUCCAAGGCUAAAUACUCCUGACUGACCGAUAGUGAACCAGUACCGUGAGGGAAAGGCGAAAAGAACCCCGGCGAGGGGAGUGAAAAAGAACCUGAAACCGUGUACGUACAAGCAGUGGGAGCACAGAGCAAUCUGUGUGACUGCGUACCUUUUGUAUAAUGGGUCAGCGACUUAUAUUCUGUAGCAAGGUUAACCGAAUAGGGGAGCCGAAGGGAAACCGAGUCUUAACUGGGCGUUAAGUUGCAGGGUAUAGACCCGAAACCCGGUGAUCUAGCCAUGGGCAGGUUGAAGGUUGGGUAACACUAACUGGAGGACCGAACCGACUAAUGUUGAAAAAUUAGCGGAUGACUUGUGGCUGGGGGUGAAAGGCCAAUCAAACCGGGAGAUAGCUGGUUCUCCCCGAAAGCUAUUUAGGUAGCGCCUCGUGAAUUCAUCUCCGGGGGUAGAGCACUGUUUCGGCAAGGGGGUCAUCCCGACUUACCAACCCGAUGCAAACUGCGAAUACCGGAGAAUGUUAUCACGGGAGACACACGGCGGGUGCUAACGUCCGUCGUGAAGAGGGAAACAACCCAGACCGCCAGCUAAGGUCCCAAAGUCAUGGUUAAGUGGGAAACGAUGUGGGAAGGCCCAGACAGCCAGGAUGUUGGCUUAGAAGCAGCCAUCAUUUAAAGAAAGCGUAAUAGCUCACUGGUCGAGUCGGCCUGCGCGGAAGAUGUAACGGGGCUAAACCAUG
rnacentral:rRNA from 1 species